AAAACCAAUGAUGAAGAACUCUAAUCAAAGUAAAAUCUUCGCCUGAUUCAAGGGUUUGAUCAUCUAUAUAAAGAUGAAUUUCAAUGAUCUUUAAUAAAUUGGUUAUAGUUACAAACAAUCGCCUAGUAACUAAUCUUUUCUUAUUUUCUCGAUAAUCAAGACAAUAGUCAGUAAUUACUUUUCUUAUUGACAAUUAACC
rnacentral:lncRNA from 1 species